UGCAUGGUUGUCGUCAGCUCGUGUCGUGAGAUGUUGGGUUAAGUCCCGCAACGAGCGCAACCCUUAUUAUUAGUUGCCAGCAUUUAGUUGGGCACUCUAGUGAGACUGCCGGUGACAAACCGGAGGAAGGUGGGGACGACGUCAAAUCAUCAUGCCCCUUAUGACCUGGGCUACACACGUGCUACAAUGGAUGGUACAACGAGUCGCGAGACCGCGAGGUUUAGCUAAUCUCUUAAAACCAUUCUCAGUUCGGAUUGUAGGCUGCAACUCGCCUACAUGAAGCCGGAAUCGCUAGUAAUCGCGGAUCASCAUGCCGCGGUGAAUACGUUCCCGGGU
rnacentral:rRNA from 1 species